rnacentral:rRNA from 1 species
AUGGCGGCCUCCAGCGCCCGCGUCGCCCCGUGCUGGAUCUCCGUGGUCGCGUCCAUGGACGUCCGGCCGCUGAGCCCGCGCAGCUGCUGCGCUAUCAGGCACUGCGCCUCGUGGUGCUGGCGCAUGGCCUUCCACAUGUCGCGCGUGGCGUGGCAGAGCCCCAGCACCUGGCGCGCGAGGUGGGUGUCCCGGAGCUCGGAGAUGGCCGCGGAGCCGGCGUGCGCGGCCUCGGACGCCGUGGCGAGCUGCGCGCGCGCCCUGUCCCACGCGCCCUUGAGCUUCUGGAUGUCCACGUUGAUCUUCCUGCUGUACUCCUGGUCCCGGAGCGCCGCCAGCUUCUUGUCGUGGCGGACCUGCAGCCGCUCCCUCGCCUUCACCUCCUUGUACAGCUUCUUCUCCCAGACCAUGAGCUGCUGCAGUGUGGAGCUAUGCCGCUUGCCGAUCCGGUCGUGCAUGCCGUCGACCCCGUCGUGCGAAACUGACGGCGACGACGACGACGACAUGCAGCAAAGCACGCCAAAGAAGCUGCUCGCUCCACCUGCAGAAUAUUUCACAUGCACUCUGUUAAAUGUCAGCUUCGAAUGUCUCACACGUGCGACGCUGGCAAGUGGAGGUUUGCGAGACACUCAGGCAGCAGGGUGGUUCACCACUGUACUCGGCGUUGCCGGCCUCGAGGAGUUUCGACACCGGGUCGCCGGCGGCGGUAGCCCUGAGGAAGUACUCCUCCAGCCCCGCGGCGACCUCCGCGAGGCUCCGGUGCCUCACGGCCACCCGCAGGUCCUCCCCGCCAACGACGCCGCCCUCCGUCCGCGCGGCGGCGGGAGGCGCCUCGGCAGCGGCAGCGGCAGCGCCGUCCUGCUGCGCCGGCUGGAUGGAGCGGAGGAGCGGCGGCGGCGUGGAGGGGGCGGGCGCCGGGCGGUGCACGAGCACGGCGGGCGGGGUGUGGUCGGACACCGGGAGCGGCUCGCCGAGCGCGAAGUGGGUGAGCGCGGACGCCACGAGGCCGAGCGAGCCGAGGUAGCCGGCGUGCGAGGCCGCGAGCUGGCGCCGCGCCCGCACCGCCUCCCGCAUGAGCCGGCGCCGCUCCCUGCACCGCCUCGUGUGCUCCCGCGCCGCCGGGCGGGCCGCGUCCCCCUGCUGGCGCGACCACGCCAUCCCCAUUGCCCGCGUUCGCUUCGCGAGCAGGAGCUGCCGUGGAGGGGUGGAUGGAGGUGGGAGUGA